AGUGAACGCUGGCGGUAGGCCUAACACAUGCAAGUCGAACGGCAGCACAGUAAGAGCUUGCUCUUACGGGUGGCGAGUGGCGGACGGGUGAGGAAUACAUCGGAAUCUACUUUUUCGUGGGGGAUAACGUAGGGAAACUUACGCUAAUACCGCAUACGACCUACGGGUGAAAGCAGGGGAUCUUCGGACCUUGCGCGAUUGAAUGAGCCGAUGUCGGAUUAGCUAGUUGGCGGGGUAAAGGCCCACCAAGGCGACGAUCCGUAGCUGGUCUGAGAGGAUGAUGAGCCACACUGGAACUGAGAGACGGUCCAGACACCUACGGGAGGCAGCAGUGGGGAAUAUUGGACAAUGGGCGCAAGCCUGAUCCAGCCAUACCGCGUGGGUGAAGAAGGCCUUCGGGUUGUAAAGCCCUUUUGUUGGGAAAGAAAAGCAGCAGGUUAAUACCCCGCUGUUCUGACGGUACCCAAAGAAUAAGCACCGGCUAACUUCGUG
rnacentral:rRNA from 1 species